rnacentral:rRNA from 1 species
GGAUAACUACUGGAAACGGUAGCUAAUACCGCGUAACGUCGCAAGACCAAAGAGGGGGACCUUCGGGCCUCUUGCCAUCGGAUGUGCCCAGAUGGGAUUAGCUUGUAGGUGAGGUAACGGCUCACCUAGGCGACGAUCCCUAGCUGGUCUGAGAGGAUGACCAGCCACACUGGAACUGAGACACGGUCCAGACUCCUACGGGAGGCAGCAGUGGGGAAUAUUGCACAAUGGGCGCAAGCCUGAUGCAGCCAUGCCGCGUGUAUGAAGAAGGCCUUCGGGUUGUAAAGUACUUUCAGCGGGGAGGAAGGGAGUGAGGUUAAUAACCUUAUUCAUUGACGUUACCCGCAGAAGAAGCACCGGCUAACUCCGUGCCAGCAGCCGCGGUAAUACGGAGGGUGCAAGCGUUAAUCGGAAUUACUGGGCGUAAAGCGCACGCAGGCGGUCUGUCAAGUCGGAUGUGAAAUCCCCGGGCUCAACCUGGGAACUGCAUUCGAAACUGGCAGGCUGGAGUCUUGUAGAGGGGGGUAGAAUUCCAGGUGUAGCGGUGAAAUGCGUAGAGAUCUGGAGGAAUACCGGUGGCGAAGGCGGCCCCCUGGACAAAGACUGACGCUCAGGUGCGAAAGCGUGGGGAGCAGACAGGAUUAGAUACCCUGGUAGUCCACGCUGUAAACGAUGUCGACUUGGAGGUUGUUCCCUUGAGGAGUGGCUUCCGGAG